rnacentral:rRNA from 1 species
UAGAGUUUGAUUCCUGGCUCAGGAUGAACGCUGGCGGUGUGCCUAACACAUUCAAGUCGAACGGCAGCACAGUGUGUAGCAAUACACAUGGGUGGCGAGUGGCGGACGGGUGAGUAAUGCUUAGGAAUCUGCCCAAUGGUGGGGGAUAACUAACCGAAAGGUUAGCUAAUACCGUAUACGCCUUUACGGGGAAAGCGGGGGAUCGAAAGACCUCGCGCCGAUGGAUGAGCCUAAGUCCGAUUAGCUAGUUGGUAGGGUAAUGGCCUACCAAGGCGACGAUCGGUAGCUGGUCUGAGAGGACGGCCAGCCACACUGGAACUGAGACACGGUCCAGACUCCUACGGGAGGCAGCAGUGGGGAAUAUUGGACAAUGGGGGAAACCCUGAUCCAGCAAUGCCGCGUGUGUGAAGAAGGCCUGCGGGUUGUAAAGCACUUUCGGUUGGGAAGAAAAGUUUGCGCUAAUACCGCCGAACCUUGACGUACUGCA